rnacentral:lncRNA from 1 species
AACAUAAUUGGAUAAAAGUAGUGAUCAAGGACACAACUUGCCUUCAACGAGCUCCAGCUCAUCAGUCUCCACCUGCUGAACCCCUGGAUCCUCUGUGCUUGCUCGUCUACUCGCAUCAAUACAAACAUACAUAGUAUAGCAAAAAUUAACAUCACACCAAACAAUAGAAAAGAAUGCAUGAUAAUAUUCUACGCUGAGUAACGAGAUCGUAGGAACUAGAAUCACUAAAUUCGGAGUUACGGUUAUUAAGUUAUGAAUUUCUGAAGUUAUUUAGUACUUGGAAUGGGAUAAUUCAAGUGCAUAAUUUUAAUUCAAGUUUCAUAAUUAAAUAGAGCUACUAAUUGAUAGACAAUAUUAUUACAAAAUUAAUGCCACUGGAAUGGAUCAAUUUGGAGCAACAAUGAAUUAAAUAUGAUUUAUACAAGUUUCUGGAAUUAUUUUUGUAUUAAAAAUCAAUUUCCAAAACUAUUUAUCUGGUUUUUUCUGUCCUCUGGACCGCGCUACCAAUCACAGGGAGUAUAGGGACUAUAGUGCUAAAUACUCCAGACUCAGGGAGCAGCAACAGUGGACGAUGGGUUGAUUUUCAUUUUAGUCAGGAUUCAUUAGUAAAACAGACUCAGCGAAGUGGUAUCGGGGUCUUACGACUGUUUGAUUCUAAACCAACAGAUCAGAUUAGAUUUGAAUCCGCAAGCGCUUCUAGCCCAUGGAUCUAAGAUCUACGACACAUAUUUUAAAUAAUCGUGAUCAACCCGAGGCCAUCCGAUCACGAUCCAACAUAUCUGAUGACGCGCGUGAAGCGCUACCCUCACUUCUAAUCUGGGACGUUCGUAUAAUAAGAUCAACGGUCAAGAUCCUAAGCCGCAAGGGUACGCCUAAAGAACUAUCUUUAACAAUUGAUGUGCAAUCCUACGGUUGCUGGUCUUCUUCCCCAACGUGACACAAACCAGGUCCACUAGACGGCCUGUCCAACCCACGGCGGCGCCAUCGUCGGAAUCCACCAACACCCGACCCCACGCCCAAGCUUCAAUUCGAACCGGGGCACGCGUAGCGAAGGCAAAGAUCGGCAAGUGAGGUAGUUACCCGUUGGUGAUUGGUGGUGCGAGGGCAGCUGUCCACGAGAUGCGACGGAAGAAGAACUCCGGCGAGUGAUUACGGGCGCCCAGACGACUCCCCAGUUGCUACAACACCUCACGGGCACUGCUCGUAAAGAGACAAGGUCCCGGGUCCAAACGCCGCAGGCAGUGCGUUCACGGCGCGAGGAUUUCCGGCGGCAGCCCGAUGACAGCGGUAGAUCGACACUCUCCCUUCCACGAUGAGCUCGGUGGUUGGGGUGCG